rnacentral:rRNA from 1 species
UGCCCUAGUAACGGCGAGUGAAGCGGCAACAGCUCAAAUUUGAAAUCUGGCCUUCGGGUCCGAGUUGUAAUUUGUAGAGGAUGCUUUUGGUGCAGUGCCUUCCGAGUUCCUUGGAACAGGACGCCUUAGAGGGUGAGAGCCCCGUACGGUUGGACACUAAGCCUCUGUAAAGCUCCUUCGACGAGUCGAGUAGUUUGGGAAUGCUGCUCUAAAUGGGAGGUAAAUUUCUUCUAAAGCUAAAUACCGGCCAGAGACCGAUAGCGCACAAGUAGAGUGAUCGAAAGAUGAAAAGUACUUUGAAAAGAGGGUUAAAUAGCACGUGAAAUUGUUGAAAGGGAAGCGUUUAUGACCAGACCUUUGCCUGGCGGAUCAUCCGGUGUUCUUCACCGGUGCACUUCGCCUGGCUUAGGCCAGCAUCGAUUUCUGUAGGGGGAUAAAGGCCAUGGGAACGUAGCUCUCUUCGGGGAGUGUUAUAGCCCUAGGUGUAAUACCUUUACGGGGAUCGAGGUUCGCGCUUCUGCAAGGAUGCUGGCGUAAUGGUCAUCAACGACCC